rnacentral:rRNA from 1 species
GACGAACGCUGGCGGCGUGCUUAACACAUGCAAGUCGAACGGAAAGGCCCUGCUUUUGUGGGGUGCUCGAGUGGCGAACGGGUGAGUAACACGUGAGUAACCUGCCCUUGACUUUGGGAUAACUUCAGGAAACUGGGGCUAAUACCGGAUAGGAUCUCCUGCUGCAUGGUGGGGGUUGGAAAGUUUCGGCGGUUGGGGAUGGACUCGCGGCUUAUCAGCUUGUUGGUGGGGUAGUGGCUUACCAAGGCUUUGACGGGUAGCCGGCCUGAGAGGGUGACCGGCCACAUUGGGACUGAGAUACGGCCCAGACUCCUACGGGAGGCAGCAGUGGGGAAUACUGCACAAUGGGCGGAAGCCUGAUGCAGCAACGCCGCGUGCGGGAUGACGGACUUCGGGUUGUAAACCGCUUUCGCCUGUGACGAAGCGUGAGUGACGGUAAUGGGUAAAGAAGCACCGGCUAACUACGUG